rnacentral:rRNA from 1 species
UGGGGAAUAUUGGACAAUGGGCGCAAGCCUGAUCCAGCAAUACCGCGUGUGUGAAGAAGGCCUGCGGGUUGUAAAGCACUUUCCGUGGGGAGGAAGGUCUUAAUGUUAAUACCAUUGAGAAUUGACGUUACCCACAGAAGAAGCACCGGCUAACUCUGUGCCAGCAGCCGCGGUAAUACAGAGGGUGCGAGCGUUAAUCGGAAUUACUGGGCGUAAAGAGUGCGUAGGUGGUUGGAUAAGUCAGAUGUGAAAGCCCUAGGCUUAACCUGGGAAUUGCGUUUGAUACUGUCUAGCUAGAGGAUGGGAGAGGGAAGUGGAAUUUCCGGUGUAGCGGUGAAAUGCGUAGAUAUCGGAAGGAACACCAGUGGCGAAGGCGGCUUCCUGGACCAUAACUGACACUGAGGCACGAAAGCGUGGGGAGCGAA